GCUUCGUUGACAGUGGCAAUGGUAGUAGUACACAUAUAGCCUUCUCUCGAGCUGAAGGACUGCAGUGGAGGACGGGUGUCCCUGGGAUACGUUUGGAUUUUUUUUUCUUAGCGUAGUAAAGACUCGAUCAGAAUCCACUUGUGUACCGUGAACACUGAACAUGGCCGUAUUUUAUUCUUUGACACCUUAACACCACGGAGAAUAAUUUCUUCAGGCAUUUUCCAAUCCGAGUUGGGAUCCAGCGUUAUCCAGCUAUGAUGUAGACGCUCAAGUCCACACGGUCAUCAUCAGUGUUCAUUAUUGAGUGUUAAUUAGGAGCAACCCAGGGCCUUCUUGCGAUUUCUGUCAUCAAAAUGCCGGCUGGAAUGAAGCCUCUUGAAAAAUUCUUGAAGAAGCAGACCAAUGCACUCACUCGGGCGGGUGGAUUUGGGGAGAAGGCCACCGGCACUGGGGCAUCCAGGCGGCGGGCCAGCCUGUCCCGUGUGGUGCCGUUCUUCAGGGAGACGUCUCCCGAGAGCGGCCCGGCGAGGGAGGUGUUCAGCCCGGAGACAGAAGAAGCGCCGUGCUGGCCCUCCGCCACUGCGGACAUCAGGAGUCCGUCGCUGUCCAGCGACGAGCAGAGCUCCGAGGCGAGUCUGGACACGAACUGGACCCCGCUGCCCGCGGACACUCCAGACAAUCUAGCGCUGGCGCUGCUGGAGAGUGUGGCAGGAAAGCGCUACGCCAACUGCACAGCUGCUGUCUUGUUCAGGCAGAUGUGUGUGUACAGUACAUCACUGCAGCCUUUGGGAGUGUCAGCGGUCCAAAGUGGGCCAGAAAGCGCCGUGAUUUAUUCUACCCACAAACCCACUGUCCUUGAGAUGAGUUAGCAGAGGUGAAGGCAGGUUCAACUUUGUUUCUCCACACAUGCUCACAGAGCGAGUGUUCACAACCUGUCGAACAUGAACAGUUAUGAUGCAGUCUGCAUGAUUUUCCAGUCUUUCCUUGUCUUUCAUUAUACUGUCCUCCUCGUGUCAAUCAAAAUCUUGUUCUGUUGUGAUGUCACUAAUAAGGUAUUGUUCUUCUCUCUGUUUCCAAGUGCCAAAUUUACACCUUUUAACUUUUGAAAAUCUUCAUUGGACGACUGUAAGCCUACCUUAAUGUGAUUUAUCCAAGUAGAACACGUACCUGAACAUCAUAUUCUGGAAAAAUAGCUCUCUUAACCAAUUGUAGGGCUAUGACUGGGAUUUAGGGUCUUAUCAACAUAUAAUUUCUGUUAGCAUUAACAUCAAGAUUAAAGUUUAGGCUGCAGUUUAUGAUAGGAAUGUUCUCGCAUUUGGUGUGGGCAAGUUUAAUAGAUUGUAGAUAUUAUUUUUUUUACAUUAAAUUGAAUAUAUAACUUUUUAAUUAAAUAUUUAAAGAUUAAACUUAAUUUAAUUCGUUUUGAAUGUAUUCUUUGUUCUUUGUUUUCAAUUAUCUAUUAAAACAGACAACAUUGGACAAUAUUUCUGUGUUUACUCACAAAAAGUUUUGCAUUUCUUGAGAAACCUGUUUUUAAUAUGAUAUGAGAUGGGAGGAAACAUUAUGUUUAAAAAAACGACAACUAUAUUUUGCUUUAUGUUUCCUUAGGAAUGUGAUACAAGAAAACGCAAAAGCAUUGAAAUAUAAUUUCUCCUCCCGUCUAAUAUUUUUCCAUCAUCAUAUCCUGUUAGGGGCUCUUUACUAUAGCAUGACAUCAUAUCCUGCCGUCUAUAACCAUUACAGUGUCUGAAGAAAUUUGACAUGAUCAAAGUCUAGCAUGACCACACUUUAUGGUUUGUCAGACCUAUGGACACAACUCAGAACUGCUUCAAUCAUGUAUGACUUGCUAAUUGUCUUCCUGGUGAAAUUUUGUAGAGCUUCACCUAACUUUUUAGUUUUUAGCUAAACCUUAAUUUUUUUUAAAGUCUUGUUUAUGUCAUGUUUGAAACUGAAUGAUCACACUGACAGCUAUGCUAGUGUCCUACAUGUUCUCCAAUCAGUUUGUUUACUUCACAAAACUUCAGAAGAAGCAUUUGGCUCUAAAUUAUCAAGCUGAACACUUGAAUGUCUUCAAAACACUUCCAAAACAAACUGAAUUAUCUGCCAUAAAACAGCCAGUACACACAGCCGAAGAGCCUGGCCUCUUUCUACCGCAGGGGGCUAACAGUCGCACAUGCCGUUUAAGAUUUGGGUUAGAAUUAUUUUACCAAUUAGCCGCAAUGCUAACCUACCUCUGUCAGACUCUGCAGGCCAAAGCCCCCCCCCACCAUCCCUUGGGGUCCAUCGGUUGCCUAAAUUCAGAUUAGAAGAGUGCAAUGUGGGGAAUGUUUGUUUUGUUAGCUUUAGGCGUUGUGUCAGAGUGUGUAUAAGUGUGUGUGUGUGUGUGAAGAGGACACCCCUCUUUCAUUCAGUGACCUACAUUCCUUCUGUGAAUGCCAUAGCCCCCCCUACCCAGACCAUAAUGCUGUCUGAGGGGCUUGUCUGCGGAUUUAAGCACAAAGGUAUUCCUGGGGAGGUCCGUCUGCAUGCCUCAGUGCUCCUAAUGCAGCGUGUCUGCUGUGCGGCGGCCCCCCGAGUGUCUGCGGCAAUCAGUGACCCUCGCUAAUCUUCCCUGACUGCCGUCACCACAUCGCCUUAUGAUCCGCUCCUCUCUUUCUCUUUCCUCUCCCUCCUCCCGGGCCAUUUAUCUUUCCACUUUCCACACCUUUUUUCCUGGUCUUUGACUUGACCUAAUCCAGCCCUAAUCAGAUCUUUUUGUUGUGGCAACAUGUCUGCUUCCUGCUUAGAAAAGCCCCGUCUCGUAGACUUCCCACUCGUCAGGGCUCAUUUGAGGGGUUUAAUAAAAAGACUUCAAAGCAGGAUGAUUCCUUUUCA
ensembl:lncRNA